rnacentral:rRNA from 1 species
UACAGAGGGGGCAAGCGUUAUUCGGAAUUAUUGGGCGUAAAGGGCGCGUAGGCGGCCAUUCAAGUGACGGGUGAAAGCCCUCGGCUUAACCGAGGAACUGCCUGUCAGACUGGAUGGCUCGAGACCGGGAGAGGUGAGUGGAAUUCCCAGUGUAGCGGUGAAAUGCGUAGAUAUUGGGAGGAACACCAGUGGCGAAGGCGGCUCACUGGACCGGAACUGACGCUGAGGCGCGAAAGCGUGGGGAGCAAACAGG